rnacentral:piRNA from 1 species
UUAGAUAGGUUUAGAAUUGACCAUCAUCUU